CGGAAAGGAAGAAUCUUGCGAAGGUCCAUGAUGAUUGCUCGAUGCGGAGAUGCUAGAAAAAUUAAUGUUGUUUUUUCUUCCAUGGAAAAUCAUAUUGAUCGGGUGGAAUUUUGGGGGAUUUGGAAGGGAAAGAGAAGAGGAAGAUGAGGGCGAUGGAGAAACGCAAGAUCGGAGAGAAGGAGGUGGAAAUUUGAGCAUAGUAUUCAUAGAUUCUACUAAAAAAAAAUUGAAAAUUUUCUGUGGUCUUAUCUUGUGAGUCUGCAGAAGUUGAUAUGAUCUUAUGAAUGUCAAUCCUCGUGUCAUGUUCAUUGUAGAAACUGCGUAGAAUACUCGAAAUUAGUAUACGUUUUUCAGUACACUUCGUGCCACCCAGGCCGGUCCUCUAUCUCACAGGACCCUAAGACAAAAAUUACNCACCGAGUAUAUACCAUUUAUAACUAAUUACAUACCAUUUAUAACUAAUUACAGAUAAGUAAUCUGGAUAAAUAAUUUCUUACAUAAUUUUCGAAGUUAGAUCAUCAAAAAUCAACUAAAGCUCUCCUUCAACACUAGAGGUUUCGAGAUCCCAGAAACACACACACACUAACACAGAUACAAUAUCCCGAAAACAAUCUGCACGAAAAAAAUGCGUACAGAAAUUCGUUGAUAAGAAUGAUGGAGGAAAUACCGGAAAGGAAGAAUCUUGCGAAGGUCCGUGAUGAUUGCUCGAUGCGGAGAUGCUAGAAAAAUUAAUGUUGUUUUUUCUUCCAUGGAAAACCAUAUUGAUCGGGUGGAAUUUUGGGGGAUUUGGAGAAGAGGAGGGCGAUGGAGAAACGCAAGAUCGGAGAGAAGGAGGUGGAAAUUUGAGCAUAGUAUUCAUAGAUUCUCUAAAAAAAAUUGAAAUUUUCUGUGGCUUAUCUUGUGAGUCUGCAGAAGUUGAUAUGAUGUUAUGAAUGUCAAUCCUCGUGUCAUGUUCAUUGUAGAAACUGCGUAGAAUACUCGAAUUAGUUUACGUUUUUCAGACACUUCGUGCCACCUCACAGAUUCCACACCCUGCUGUUGUCUAUUUACU
rnacentral:lncRNA from 1 species